rnacentral:rRNA from 1 species
AUGAACGCUAGCGGGAGGCUUAACACAUGCAAGUCGAGGGGUACGUUUCUUUCGGGAAACAGAGACCGGCGCACGGGUGCGUAACGCGUAUGUAACUCGCCCUAUUCACUGGGAUAGCCCUCCGAAAGGAGGAUUAAUACCGGAUAACACUAAAGUCGGCAUUGGCAUUGGUUGAAAGAUUCAUCGGAAUGGGGUAGACAUGCGUCAGAUUAGCUAGUUGGUAAGGUAAUGGCUUACCAAGGCGACGAUCUGUAGGGGGCCUGAGAGGGUGAACCCCCACACUGGUACUGAGACACGGACCAG